rnacentral:lncRNA from 1 species
GGGGAAGGCACUCUGCCUUUCCCUUUGAUCUGCAUCAACCAUGUAAAUCAACAUUCUCUUCCUUUCCCAGGACCUGAAGCCAAGAUGGGGUUUCACCAUGUUGACCAGAUAGUCUCAAACUCCCCACCUCAAGUGACAGGACCACAUCUGCCUCCCAAAGUGCUGGGAUUACAGUGCUGAAGAAUCAAGUUACAGAAAAUGCCGGACUUAGUAGUUAACUCAGGAGAACAGAAACCGAAGAAAACCUGGGAAAUGUAAGUGAAAUAUCUCGAUAUUUACUGUAAGUGUGAAGUAAAUGGAUGCGUUCAUCAGGAGCCAGCUAAAACAACCUACUUCCUGUGGCAAUUUUGAUUAUUGGAAAUUGCCAACAUACCACAA